CUGAAAUGAUUUGGACUAGCGGCAACAUUUGUGUAGAUAGGCUCACGCAGCAAGGAUGUGUUUCUUGUCCAUCGUAGUAGGGCUGAGAAAAAAGAUAUUCGGUGGUCGAUAAAAUAACAACAUUCUUUUUGAAACGCGUGUAACUCUGGAAUGCAAACUUCUUGAUUGAAAAGUGUAAGCGAAUGAUCUCGUUAUAUCAAUGUAAAAUCGGUAUUAUGCUAUAUUGUGUGGCAAUAUACAAUUUAUUUUAGCUGUAACGACGGUUUUUGAACUACAUGAUAUAUGUUGGGCCAUUCUAAAGUUUGUGAUCUUGUACUAUUUCAAAGUGUAAUAAGUGUCUGUGUUAUAUGUGCUUGUUAAAAAAAAUAAUAUCGAAUGUUGUUAAUUAGGUGAAAGUGCUGUGGUGAACCUUUGGGUCAAGACUCAUUCAUUACAAUAAAUGCAACGUUUAUUCGCUGUGCAUUAUUGUAGUAUGAGAAAGUAUCUAGAAAACAUAGCCUUUAGAGAAAUAAGGCAAUGUGUGUGGAUCUUUAACAUCGACUCUGAUAAAGAGUGAAGUAUGAAAGUUAUUGAGUGAAAAAGUAUCUGCAAAAAUAGGUCAAAAUGUGUAUGUGUUUCUAGCACUAUAAAUAAAAAGUAAUUUAAAAUAUACAUGUACGGCUCCAAAGUUGGUACAUACAACAAAAUCAAAGCUUAACACAUCAAAGCAAAAUCAUGUCUCAAAUCUGAAGAGAAUAUAUCUUCCAAACUGCCAACAUCAAGCAGAAUAAUCAAUUGCGUUCCAUGAAACAUGUCUCAAAUCUGAAGAGAAUAUAUCUUCCAAACUGCCAACAUCAAGCAGAAUAAUCAAUUGCG